AACCGCCCCGUGCCUCUGCUACAAAUACUCCGGGAUAAAAACUUCAGUACUUCAAUUUCUUAUCCAUCCUUUCGUAUACAUAUACCAAUUCCAUUGCCAAAAGUCCAGAGCUGGUCAGAGGGUCACAUGGACAGGGACUCAUAUGAUUGUCAUUUCCAAUAAACAUACUACUAGUAUCCAGCUCAUUAUCCCAUCUUGCAAUAAGGAAAGAACUGGUUUCGUCACUCAUCCAGCUCAGCACACAUAGCUAUAUCAGUAGCUAAUUCAUUGUUUCGUUCAAACGACAGACAACUUACAGUACAUAUCUACUUCUUCAUACCAACCUCCCUGAGUCUAUAUUUAUUGCCACAUAUUCGCUUCCACGCUGAUCUGGAAGAUAUCCAGCACCUCCCUAACCAGCAUCCAAUAAAACAACGCCGAAAAUGUCCUACGCCAAAGCAGUCUCCCGGGGUGCCCAACAAUCUCCUCAAGAGGUACUGCGGCACCCCAACCUCGUGAAGUUGAAGUCGCCGAAGCUGAACCUGCAACAUCCUCUCUAAUCGAUGUCGACUCCCCGCACAUCUCCUCUGUUCCCCCCACCUACGAGUCUCAGCGUAUAAAAACAAACACCCAAGCCGAGCGCAUCGAGCGCGAGGGCGAGGAGAAACAGCGGCGCGAGCAAGCCGAAAGAGAAGCCAAACGCGCCGCAGCAAGAGACGCCAAGGGGAAAGCGAAAGCCGUAAAGAAUAAAGCAGCGUCCGCCAAGUUGUCCCUUCUCCGGAACAGUUCAAAUCCCGUCCUUUUGGGAAACGCGAUGUUGAUGGCUAUUGCGGGCGCCGGGUUGGGAUUUAGUGCAUAUCGCUGGCAUGCUCGGGGUGCGUUAACGUGGAAUAUACUGGGGCUGUGGUCUAGCGCAGUAGGUGCGCUUGGAUUUGUGGAUUAUUAUGUUAGCAAAUGGUUCCUGCAAAAUAAGUAUCCGCUAAAGUGAAAUUCUCACCCGAUCGGAUGAUUCAUGUCUGGCUGUCAACACGUAGCACGUAUUCUCAGCACACAUGCACGAACAUCUCCUGUUCCGUCAUUUCGAGUCUGAUUGACUUUUUUUUUGUUUUUUUUUUUCUUUUGUGUGUGUGUGUGUGUGUGCGUGUGUGUGUGUGUGUGUUUUGGAGUUAGUUGAGACGAUUGUUUUGGAUUUUGAAUCAUUGGUUUGGUGGUUUUCAUUUGGCUCUCGCUCCUGAACAACAUCUCCUUAGCAGUAGGUUGUAUCAUCCACUUCAUUGCUGUGAUAAUUCAUAGUAGUAGCUAGUUUAGUGCUGUAGGUUACUACUUAGUCAAUAUUCAUAGUGGGCUGGAGCCCCGAGAUGGUAGGAUUAGAGAUUGAUUAGAGAUAGUAGAUUAGAAGACUAGAUUAAAGAAUUAAAUUAGAGAUUA
rnacentral:sRNA from 1 species